UACGUAGGGGGCAAGCGUUGUCCGGAUUCAUUGGGCGUAAAGCGCGUGUAGGCGGCCAGGUAGGUCUGGUGUGAAAACUCGAGGCUCAACCUCGAGAGGUCAUCGGAAACCAUCUGGCUAGAGUCCGGAAGAGGAGAGUGGAAUUCCCGGUGUAGUGGUGAAAUGCGUAGAUAUCGGGAGGAACACCAGUGGCGAAGGCGACUACCUGGCCUGUUUCUUGACGCUGAGGCGCGAAAGCUAGGGGAGCAAACGGG
rnacentral:rRNA from 1 species